UUNUGAACUGGGUGACUAGAGUGUGUCAGAGGGAGGUAGAAUUCCACGUGUAGCAGUGAAAUGCGUAGAGAUGUGGAGGAAUACCGAUGGCGAAGGCAGCCUCCUGGGAUAACACUGACGUUCAUGCCCGAAAGCGUGGGUAGCAAACAGGAUUAGAUACCCUGGUAGUCCACGCCCUAAACGAUGUCGAUUAGCUGUUGGGCAGCAUGACUGCUUAGUAGCGAAGCUAACGCGUGAAAUCGACCGCCUGGGGAGUACGGUCGCAAGAUUAAAACUCAAAGGAAUUGACGGGGACCCGCACAAGCGGUGGAUGAUGUGGAUUAAUUCGAUGCAACGCGAAGAACCUUACCUGGUCUUGACAUGUACGGAACCCUCCAGAGACGGUGGAGUGCCUUCGGGAGCCGUAACACAGGUGCUGCAUGGCUGUCGUCAGCUCGUGUCGUGAGAUGUUGGGUUAAGUCCCGCAACGAGCGCAACCCUUGUCAUUAGUUGCCAUCAUUAAGUUGGGCACUCUAAUGAGACUGCCGGUGACAAGCCGGAGGAAGGUGGGGAUGACGUCAAGUCCUCAUGGCCCUUAUGACCAGGGCUUCACACGUCAUACAAUGGUCGGUACAGAGGGUAGCCAAGCCGCGAGGCGGAGCCAAUCUCACAAAACUGAUCGUAGUCCGGAUUGCACUCUGCAACUCGAGUGCAUGAAGUCGGAAUCGCUAGUAAUCGCAGGUCAGCAUACUGCGGUGAAUACGUUCCCGGGUCUUGUACACACCG
rnacentral:rRNA from 1 species